rnacentral:misc_RNA from 1 species
UCCGGCUUAUCACCGGCGGUUUCUUUAGAGUGCCCAACUAAAUGAUGGCAACUAAAGACGAGGGUUGCGCUCGUUGCGGGACUUAACCCAACAUCUCACGACACGAGCUGACGACAGCCAUGCAGCACCUGUGCUCCGGCCAGCCGAACUGAAGGAGCCCAUCUCUGGGCCCCACACCGGGCAUGUCAAACGCUGGUAAGGUUCUGCGCGUUGCGUCGAAUUAAACCACAUGCUCCACCGCUUGUGCAGGCCCCCGUCAAUUUCUUUGAGUUUUAAUCUUGCGACCGUACUCCCCAGGCGGAUAACUUAAUGCGUUAGCUGCGCCACCGAGACCCGAAGGGUCCCGACAGCUAGUUAUCAUCGUUUACGGCGUGGACUAC